AACAACAUAAGAUUGAUAGAGACCUAGGCUACACAUGGGGAACUUGUUCCUCAUCUGGUUGCUUAGGGGAAAGUCCCCGGACCUUGGGCAGAAAGUGCCACGUGCUCAAGCACUUAGACCCUCCCUGCCCUUCACACUUAGCCUCUUAAAAAGCAAACUCGCUCUCUGGGAUGGGAAAACUGAGCGGCGUGUUGUGGGACGUCAUCCUUCAGCUGUCAUAGUGACGCAGGCAGUGCGCACGUGGGUGCGCAUGAACCAAACCAGGCUCAUUCUCAGCGUGGC
rfam:Cavia porcellus supercont2_13 genomic scaffold, whole genome shotgun sequence.